UACGUAGGGUGCAAGCGUUAAUCGGAAUUACUGGGCGUAAAGCGUGCGCAGGCGGUUGUGCAAAACAGAUGUGAAAUCCCCGGGCUCAACCUGGGAAUUGCAUUUGUGACUGCACGGCUAGAGUGUGUCAGAGGGGGGGUAGAAUUCCACGUGUAGCAGUGAAAUGCGUAGAGAUGUGGAGGAAUACCGAUGGCGAAGGCAGCCCCCUGGGAUAACACUGACGCUCAUGCACGAAAGCGUGGGGAGCAAACAGG
rnacentral:rRNA from 1 species